rnacentral:rRNA from 1 species
AUUGAACGCUGGCGGAAUGCUUUACACAUGCAAGUCGAGCGGCAGCACAGGGGCAACCCUGGUGGCGAGCGGCGAACGGGUGAGUAAUACAACGGAACAUGCCCAGUCGUGGGGGAUAACACUUCGAAAGAAGUGCUAAUACCGCAUACGUCCUGAGGGGGCAAGCGGGGGAUCGCAAGACCUCGCGCGAUUGGAGUGGCCGAUGUCAGAUUAGCUAGUUGGUGGGGUAAAGGCCUACCAAGGCAACGAUCUGUAGCUGGUCUGAGAGGAUGAACAGCCACACUGGGACUGAGACACGGCCCAGACUCCUACGGGAGGCAGCAGUGGGGAAUUUUGGACAAUGGGGGCAACCCUGAUCCAGCCAUUCCGCGUGAGUGAAGAAGGCCUUCGGGUUGUAAAGCUCUUUCGGCAGGAACGAAACGGUGAGCUCUAACAUAGCUUGCUAAUGACGGUACCUGAAGAAGAAGCACCGGCUAACUACGUG